rnacentral:piRNA from 1 species
UAUAAUGUGACAGAAAACACACAGUGUGA